rnacentral:rRNA from 1 species
CGCGAAUAGCUCAUUACAAUAGCCGUUGUUUCUUGGAUCCUCAAUUUACUUGGAUACCUGUGGUAAUUCUAGAGCUAAUACAUGCGACUAAGGGCCGAACUCACGUGACGCUUGCAUUUAUUAGAUCAAGACUAACCGGCUUCGGCCGUUAACUUGGUGACUCUGAAUAACUCAGCUGAUCGCACGGUCUAGUGCCGGCGACAUAUCUUUCAAGUGUCUACCUUAUCAACUGUCGAUGGUAGUUUAUGUGACUACCAUGGUUGUAACGGGUAACGGAGAAUCAGGGUUUGACUCCGGAGAGGGAGCCUGAGAAACGGCUACCACUUCUAAGGAAGGCAGCAGGCGCGCAAAUUACACAAUCUCAGCACGAGGAUGUAGUGACGAAACAUACCGAGGCGAUGCCCUUUCGGGUGUCGUCAUUGGAAUGAGUCGAAUCUAAAAAAUUCGGCAAGGAUCUAGUGGAGGGCAAGUCUGGUGCCAGCAGCCGCGGUAAUUCCAGCUCCGCAAGUGUAUAUCUAUGCUGUUGCGGUUAAAAAGCUCGUAGUUUGAUUCGCGUACUUAGCACGCAGUGUGGCCUUUCGGCUACUACUGUGAUGCGGUACAUUAUCGUCAGUUUGUCGUUGAUGCUCUUCAUUGGGUGUCAGCGGCGGCUGUCAAGUUUACUUUGAACAAAUUAAAGUGCUCAAUACAGGCGUUUCGCUUGUAUAGUUCUGCAUGGAAUAAUAGAAUAGGACUUACGUUCUAUUGUGUUGGUUUUCAGAACGAAAGUAAUGAUUAAGAGGGACAGACGGGGUCAUUCGUACUGCCACGUUAGAGGUGAAAUUCUUGGAUCGUGGCAAGACGAACUACUGCGAAAGCAUUGACAAGAA